CGCAUCUGUGCAUGCAGCAUAUCAAUAAGCGGAGGAAAAGAAACUAACAAGGAUUCCCCUAGUAACGGCGAGUGAAGCGGGAAGAGCUCAAAUUUGAAAUCUUAAAGGGUUUCCCUUUACGAAUUGUAGUUUAAAGAAGUGUUUUCUGUUGAGGUUUUGGUAAAAGUUCUUUGGAAUAGGACAUCAUAGAGGGUGAGAAUCCCGUAUUUGACCUUUACUUUCAACUUUGUGAUACACUUUCAAAGAGUCGGAUUGUUUGGGAAUGCAGUCCAAAAUGGGUGGUAAAUUUCAUCUAAAGCUAAAUAUUGGCGAGAGACCGAUAGCGAACAAGUACCGUGAGGGAAAGAUGAAAAGAACUUUGAAAAGAGAGUUAAACAGUACGUGAAAUUGUCAAAAGGGAAGCGUUUGACACCAGUGUUGUUUUUCUGAAAAUCAAUUAAAGAACUGUUUAUGCUAAGUUGUCUAGACUUUAUCAGCUAUCUGUCUAGUUUUGAGCUUUUCUUUAAUGCACUUUUCAGUUUACAAGUCAACAUCAAUUUCUUUUGCUGUAAAAAAGCUUGAGGAAGGUGGCUUGAGAUUCGUCUUAAGUGUUUAUAGCCUCUUGCCUAUGCAGUCGGAGAGAUUGAGGUCUGCAGCGUAGAUCCUUCGGGGCUAAAUGCAUUUGUGCUAAGUUAUAGCAUUUUAUAGACAACUUGUUGACUAUGAUUUGUCUUGUAGCUUACUCGCUUAUGUUAUUUUACCUACGCUUAGGAUGUUGAGUCAUCACACAUCUCU
rnacentral:rRNA from 1 species